GAUGAAGAACGUAGCAAAAUGCGAUAAGUAAUGUGAAUUGCAGAAUUCAGUGAAUCAUCGAAUCUUUGAACGCACAUUGCGCCCGCUGGUAUUCCGGCGGGCAUGCCUGUUCGAGCGUCAUUUCAACCCUCAAGCCCCCGGGUUUGGUGUUGGGGAUCGGCUCUGCCCUUCUGGGCGGUGCCGCCCCCGAAAUACAUUGGCGGUCUCGCUGCAGCCUCCAUUGCGUAGUAGCUAACACCUCGUAACUGGAACGCGGCGCGGCCAUGCCGUAAAACCCCAACUUCUGAAUGUUGACCUCGGAUCAGGUAGGAAUACCCGCUGAACUUAAGCAUAUCAAUAAGCGGAGGA
rnacentral:misc_RNA from 1 species